UAUACCAUGAUUUAGAAGCAUUGUAUUUGCAUUGCCUCUAGGCUUUCUUAUUCAGCCUAAUUUUUAAGGAAAAUAUUCUUUUUUUUUUCAAGUGCUGAUGAUUAUUUAUUAAUUAUUGAUGUUGAAAUUUUUAAACGCGGCACUACAAUUUCUGUCCAGAUUUUUUUUCUUCAAAAAACAGCAUUAUCACUGAAAACUUUUGGAAUCAAGUUUUUUAUCACAAUUUUUUUCAAAGAUUAGAAAGUUGUAAUAUAUGCUUGAAUGAUGUGGGUAUAAUGCAACAUGUCCUCACGCUGCUUACUGUGCAAAAAGUAUCUUGAAUGUAGAACUCUUGAGUUUGUGUAACAGAUUAAAGAAGGGAACAUUUGGUUGAACGACACUAUUGGUAUC
rnacentral:lncRNA from 1 species